GAUGAACGCUGGCGGCGUGCCUAAUACAUGCAAGUCGAGCGAACAGACGAGGAGCUUGCUCCUCUGACGUUAGCGGCGGACGGGUGAGUAACACGUGGAUAACCUACCUAUAAGACUGGGAUAACUUCGGGAAACCGGAGCUAAUACCGGAUAAUAUAUUGAACCGCAUGGUUCAAUAGUGAAAGACGGUUUUGCUGUCACUUAUAGAUAGAUCCGCGCCGCAUUAGCUAGUUGGUAAGGUAACGGCUUACCAAGGCAACGAUGCGUAGCCGACCUGAGAGGGUGAUCGGCCACACUGGAACUGAGACACGGUCCAGACUCCUACGGGAGGCAGCAGUAGGGAAUCUUCCGCAAUGGGCGAAAGCGUGACGGAGCAACGCCGCGUGAGUGGUGAAGGUCUUCGGAUCGUAUAACUCUGUUAUUAGGGAAGAACAAAUGUGUAAGUAACUAUGCACGUCUUGACGGUACCUAAUCAGAAAGCCACGGCUAACUACGUG
rnacentral:rRNA from 1 species